UACGGAGGGUGCAAGCGUUAAUCGGAAUUACUGGGCGUAAAGCGUGCGUAGGUGGUUCGUUAAGUCCGUUGUGAAAGCCCCGAGCUCAACUUGGGAAUUGCAGUGGAUACUGGCGAGCUGGAGUGCGGUAGAGGAAGGUGGAAUUCCCGGUGUAGCGGUGAAAUGCAUAGAGAUCGGGAGGAACACCAGUGGCGAAGGCGGCCUUCUGGACCAGCACUGACACUCAAGCACGAAAGCGUGGGGAGCAAACAGG
rnacentral:rRNA from 1 species